rnacentral:lncRNA from 1 species
UCUGCUAACAGCAAACUUGCUGCCACGUGAUGAUACAACCCAGCAACACAUAAGUGAAUUUGGCAAAAACUAAGGAAUCCAGAGCAAAAAGGGAGAGGUGGCAGGCAUCACCGCUGGUCUCUGAGCAGGGAGCAUCAAGUCGUUCUGCAGUUAAGAGGACCAAUUCAAGCGAGCUGUCAGCGCGGGAGAAACGGUGACAGAGCUGUUCAGUCCUUUCUCCAGGGAUAUGAUGGCAUUAAUAAUAUCAUCAUUUUCAUUUUUUUUAAUCUUUUAUACAAUCCAUAAGAAAAAGCCUUUGAAACACCUCCUCCUAUAGCCUGUCUCUGCCAGUAGCUGGUAGCAGUUGCUGAGGG